rnacentral:tRNA from 1 species
GCCGGGGUCGCCUAGGGGCCUAGGGCGCCGGACUCAUAGUCCGGUUAUCGCGGGUUCGAAUCCCGCCCCCGGCACCA